AGAGACAGCAGCAGCCGCGGUAAUACGUAGGUCCCGAGCGUUGUCCGGAUUUAUUGGGCGUAAAGCGAGCGCAGGCGGUUAGAUAAGUCUGAAGUUAAAGGCUGUGGCUUAACCAUAGUACGCUUUGGAAACUGUUUAACUUGAGUGCAAGAGGGGAGAGUGGAAUUCCAUGUGUAGCGGUGAAAUGCGUAGAUAUAUGGAGGAACACCGGUGGCGAAAGCGGCUCUCUGGCUUGUAACUGACGCUGAGGCUCGAAAGCGUGGGGAGCAAACAGGAUUAGAUACCCCUGUAGUCCCUGUCUCUUAUACA
rnacentral:rRNA from 1 species